rnacentral:rRNA from 1 species
AAAGACCCGCAAGGGUAUGCUGAGAGAUGGGCUUGCGGCACAUUAGUUAGUUGGUAAGGUAAUGGCUUACCAAGACUAUGAUGUGUAGCUGGACUGAGAGGUUGAACGGCCACAUUGGGACUGAGAUACGGCCCAAACUCCUACGGGAGGCAGCAGUAAGGAAUUUUCGGCAAUGGAGGAAACUCUGACCGAGCAACGCCGCGUGAACGAUGAAGUAUUUAGGUACGUAAAGUUCUUUUAUUAAAGAAGAAAAAAUGAUGGAAAAAUCAUUCUGACGGUAUUUAAUGAAUAAGCCCCGGCUAACUAUGUGCCAGCAGCUGCGGUAAUACAUGGGGGGCAAGCGUUAUCCGGAUUUAUUGGGCGUAAAGGGUGCGUAGGCGGUUAAAUAAGUCUAUGGUAUAAGUUCAACGCUUAACGUUGUGAUGCUAUAGAAACUGUUUGACUAGAGUUGGAUAGAGGCAAGUGGAAUUCCAUGUGUAGCGGUAAAAUGCGUAAAUAUAUGGAGGAACACCAGUAGCGAAGGCGGCUUGCUGGGUCUUAACUGACGCUGAGGCACGAAAGCGUGGGGAGCAAACAGGAUUAGAUACCCUGGUAGUCCACGCCGUAAACGAUGAGUACUAAGUGUUGGGUUAAACCAGUGCUGAAGUUAACACAUUAAGUACUCCGCCUGAGUAGUACGUACGCAAGUAUGAAACUUAAAGGAAUUGACGGGACUCCGCACAAGCGGUGGAUCAUGUUGUUUAAUUCGAAGAUACACGAAGAACCUUACCAGGUCUUGACAUACUCUGCAAAGCUAUAGAAAUAUAGUGGAGGUUAUCAGGGAUACAGGUGGUGCAUGGUUGUCGUCAGCUCGUGUCGUGAGAUGUUGGGUUAAGUCCCGCAACGAGCGCAACCCUUAUCACUAGUUACCAUCAUUUAGUUGGGCACUUUAGUGAGACUGCCAAUGAUAAAUUGGAGGAAGGUGGGGAUUACGUCAAAUCAUCAUGCCCCUUAUGACCUGGGCUACAAACGUGAUACAAUGGCUGUUACAAAGAGUAGCUGAAACGUGAGUUUUUAGCAAAUCUCAAAAAAACAGUCUCAGUUUGGAUUGAAGUCUGCAACUCGACUUCAUGAAGUCGGAAUCGCU